rnacentral:sRNA from 1 species
CAACAACGGAAAGGAGGUGGUCGAAUGUCUCAUUGUUUCACGCCGCUGAUGGCGAACCUGCCGAGCGCGACUCCCGCCCGCGGGGCUGUCCAGCUCUAAGGAGCAAGCCAGAAGUGGCUGACAAUGGAAAGGCCGUCCUGAAAGGGGCGGCCUU